CGCAGGCGAAUGAAGGCGGCCGCGAAGGCCACGGAACAGAGGCGGAGAAACGCCGAACGGCGGCGGGAGGGAAAACGCCUGCGCCGAGCGAAGAGGCGGGUCCCGAGUUUCUGGUGACUUUAAACUGGGCCACUAGCUCAACAAAGUGCUAUUAUUUCCGACCCCCAAAAAAGAAAACUGAAGCUCAGAGAGUUAAAUAAUCCAGCUCAUGGUCUCUCAUCUCAGGAAAGAAAGUGAAAAACUACCAACAGGAAGAUGCUUAAGUUGGACUGGAACUCAGAAAUAAUAGGGACUAUCACAACCAAUUGAUUUGCCAAUAUUCCCUGAGGUGAAACAGAAAGGAAAUACAACUUUUGAGGUUAAUACUAUAAUAAGAUCCUGUUCACAGAGAACUCAAAUGCUAAACAAUAUUUAUUCACAACAGGUAUUUGGGAGAGAGAACUGUUACUCUACUGAGAUCAGAAUGGUAAUAUAUGAGAAAGAUAGGAAAAUCCAACUCAAAUCAGCCUUUAAAAGGAGACAAAUCUUAUAUUAAAAAUAUGAAUCCACAGUGCUUAAAUAGUUAAUUUUUAAAAUGUACAAAUAGCUACCAGAUUUAUACUAUAAAAUGAAAAGCAAGUUUAUCUGUAUCAUGUAAUAUACUAAAAAAUAAACUGCUCCCUCCUUUGUCCUA